GACGAACGCUGGCGGCGUGCUUAACACAUGCAAGUCGAACGGAAAGGCCCCUUUGGGGGUACUCGAGUGGCGAACGGGUGAGUAACACGUGAGUAACCUGCCCUUGACUUCGGGAUAACUUCAGGAAACUGGGGCUAAUACCGGAUAGGAAUCCUUGCUGCAUGGUGGGGGUUGGAAAGCUUCGGCGGUUUUGGAUGGACUCGCGGCUUAUCAGCUUGUUGGUGGGGUAGUGGCUUACCAAGGCUUUGACGGGUAGCCGGCCUGAGAGGGCGACCGGCCACAUUGGGACUGAGAUACGGCCCAGACUCCUACGGGAGGCAGCAGUGGGGAAUAUUGCACAAUGGGCGGAAGCCUGAUGCAGCAACGCAGCGUGCGGGAUGACGGCCUUCGGGUUGUAAACCGCUUUCAGCAGGGGCGAAGCUUGUGGUGACGGUACCUGCAGAAGAAGCACCGGCUAACUACGUG
rnacentral:rRNA from 1 species